rnacentral:lncRNA from 1 species
CGGCGGACGCCUGUUCGCGUGCACCGUCCCCCGCCUGACCUGCCGGCCGCUUCCGGAGCGGGAGGAUGUGGCGGACUUGCGGGGCGCUAAGCGCUUCGGCCCUAGCCUUGGCGCGGUCGCGGGGAGCCCGGGCCUGCAGCGGAGACGGGGGCGUCUCCUACACGCAGGGCCAGAGCCCGGAGCCCCGGACGCGCGAGUAUUUCUACUACGUGGAUCAUCAGGGUCAGGUGUGUGGGGAGCGAGGCAGGGCGCCGGGAAGGGGAAGGGCCUCUGUGGGGGCGGGACGGGAACUGGAGUCCCGGUGCGUACUGACGAGGAGAGGAGUCCUCGUAGGCCAAGGGAAAGGGGGGAACCUGGAAAGCGCGUGAGCCCCACUCUGCAGAGCCCAGACAAUCAGCGGGAAAAACCCGGAGCGCGCGGGCGGCGUGGGCCUGGUGCGCUCUGCCCCGGCCUUCGAGCUCAGCGCCUGCUUCGAGUACGGCCCUGGCGCGCCCGCGCUGCCCUCGCACGUGCGCUGGGAGGGCGGUCGCCUCGCCCUCACCAUGGAGCUGGCCCCGCUGCUGCUGGCGACUCCGCCGUCCUGAGCCCGCGGGCGGCUCGGGAGGUCGAGUGCCCGCGUGGGGAGGCUCGGCCUGCUUUGUAAUCAAGGAAGAGGGGAAAAGCCACCGAAAGUGCAAGGAAGCAUUACUCGGGUUGCGGGUCGAUGUCGGAAAGGCAGCAGGCCCGGGGUUUACUUUCAAAGCGCCGCCCUGCACAGGGAACAGCAAGACAGUGAACACACCCACGGGGUCUCAUUCACUGGCCUCGGCCUGUCCUCUGCAGCUCUUCCUGGACGAUUCCAAAAUGAAGAACUUCAUCACCUGCUUCAAAGGUACUGCUGCACCCCUUCCUUCGCCCUUCAGGACAGCCGAGGACAGGCCCUGCCCCGGGCCCCGACCCAGGGCUGACUUGCACCAGGUGCCCCGCUGUCGCAGUGAGGCCAGCGCCGGCCUUGGGUGUGGUCCGGGGUGAGGCGCCUGCCGAGGUGAGCAGCCGCACUCUCUGCUCCCCCCAGACCUGCAGUUCCUGGUCACCUUCUUCUCUCGCCUGAAACCCAACCGCAGCGGGCGCUACGAGGCCGCCUUCCCCUUCCUCUCACUGUGCGGCAGAGAGCGCAACUUCCUGCGCUGUGAGGACCGGCCCGUGGUCUUCACGCACCUGCUGGCCACGGGCCGCGGGCCCUCUCGCCUCUCCUACUGCGGCGGGGGCGAGGCCCUGGCAGUGCCCUUCGAGCCGGCGCGCUUGCUGCCCCUGGCGGCCAACGGGCGCCUGUACCACCCGGCGCCAGAGCGCGCGGGCGGCGUGGGCCUGGUGCGCUCUGCCCUGGCCUUCGAGCUCAGCGCCUGCUUCGAGUACGGCCCUGGCGCUCCCGCGCUGCCCUCGCACGUGCGCUGGGAGGGCCGUCGCCUCGCCCUCACCAUGGAGCUGGCCCCGCUGCUGCUGGCGACUCCGCGGUCCUGAGCCGCGGACUGUUCCGAAGUUCCCGCGGAUCCUGCGCUCCGCCGGCCGAGUGCGCGUGCGCGUGCGUGGAGUGCGCCGGGGCUCCGCCUGCUGGCGCUGUCCGAGGUGCUGCUGCCCGUCCUAGGGCUCGGCGCCGCCCCUUGCUCCGCUCCUCGCUCCCCUUCCGGGCAUCCUCUGGAUUGGCCCGCGCUCCCGACGUCAGGCCCGGGCGGCGGGCGCAGGAGGCGCGGGGCUCCGGUGCGCGUGCGCGCCCCGCCUCUGCUGGAGCCAGGCCGCCGCAGGCUCGGCGGGGAGCCGCGAGCCGCCGGAGCGUCAGGUGAGGGGGGGCCCCGACCCAAGGUCACCGGGCUUAGGGGCGGGAUCGGGGACCUCCCCGGCUCAGACCCCGGCACGCACCUAGAAGGGUGUGCAACCCGGCACCGGGGAGGGCACGCGGAUACCACGCCCUCCACGAUCGCAGGCCUGCACCUACCUGCGCGAGAGGGCGAAAGGGGACUUCGUGCAGGAUCCCAGCGCCGGUCGCAAGGACCACCCGGAGAUCCUGGCUCGAGUGUGCCGGAGAGAGGAAACCGGGUGCCCCCAGCCCCCUGCUAAGCCGGAUUAGGGUUUGUCCGCUGGUAAAAGGACUUCUGGGCCCUCAUCCGGGUCCCUCAUCCCUGUCCGGGCCGUCUUUCCACACCAGUUUGUAUUUAACGGGUCCUCCAGAGCUGCAGCGCCGAGCCAAGGAAGAAACCAAGGCUUUAUUGCUGGAGGCUGGGUGGGUGGGUGAGUCCUGGAGCUGGAGGCCGCCCCUUGGUGCUCAGGGAGACUAAUGCCAUGGGCCCAAAGAAUGCGCCCCCCCCCCAGUCCCAUUUCUUGGGGGCUCACACACAUCCUGAGACCCCUGGCAACCGCCUCUGCCUUUUCCAUUAAAACUUUAUUGCUAUGCUUACUCAUAUGUCCUGAUUAUAAAUAAUCGUGUGAGUUACAGUUUAGGGCAGAAUUGAAACAAGCACUGAAGCCAUUUGGCACCUUUCAUCUUGACUCACAGAGACAGGGACACCUAGGUAACAGUAUACCCUGGGUUUUGCCUUUCUUGGCUCCAGAGGAGCUGGUUUCUCAGUCACGCCCAUACCUAUAAAACUGGGUUCUUGUGUUUGGAACUAGACCCCAGCUUUCCCAUCCCUGAGGCCACAGAUACAUGCACAUAAACCCCUGCAAACCACAUGCUUCUUCCUAUUGUCUCUGGCCCACUUAGAAAACCACACCUGAAACCCAGUUGGUGUGGUUGGAGUAGCUCAGUGGUGGAGUAUGUGCUUAACAUGUGAGACCCUGGGGUCAAUCCCUCCCCCCACACACACACACACACAAAGAAGAAACACAAAAGCUUUAUUGGUGACCUAAGGCCCGUCUCUCACACCCAAUCUUUCCCAGCACUCCACCUACCCCAAAGACAGGGGUUUUCUUUCCGGAGCCAGCCUAGGGAGCCCCAGCCCAUAGUUCAUGAAUUAACUUUCCUAUUGUUUGCCUCAUCCUCAAUUCUCUACAAGUUACUUGAGGAAAAGCCCCAGCUCUGUCAUCUGGCUCCCCCUCUGCCCAGGUCUCCCUUCAAGUCAUGAUGUAUGAACCACCAGGUGGAGCCAGAGCAUACCUGCUUCCAGUGUUAAUUAAUUCUAGAGUUUGAAGUGAGACGACAGGUCUUGUCCUAGGGGCACCUAAGGAACUCUGCUUUGGAUUGAGCCUUAGGUUUGUGCCAGUCCUGAGAGUGAAGACAAGAGUGAAGACAUGCCUGCCCAGGGCCCGUUCCCUCCUUCUGGUCUAUGCUUGGGUAGGUCCCGGAUUUUGCUGCCGAGUAGUCCUGGGUCCCAGCUCAGGAGCCACGGGGCUGAGUCAACAGGGUCAGAGGGAGCUUGAACCAGCUGUGCUGUGCAUGAGCAGAGGGCCCUCAGGACAGGCAUGGGAAGGGGUCUGAGAAUGGGUUGCCCUCCCCACAUGGCCACAUCCUGGGGAAACAGGACACCAAGAAUUCUCAACUUGAACCUCCUGCCCUCAGUCUUGGUGUUUUUGUCAAGGAAGGAAACUAGAAAAUUUUAUUCAUCAGUUUCUUUAUUGGGAGUGGGGGUUGCAGACAGGGUAGCCCAGGGCCUCGUGUAUGCUAGGCAGGUGUUCUGCCACUGACUUACAAUCCCCAGCACACGAACUGACUUAAAACUUUGUGAAAGUUAGACACAGGUUGUGUGGGCCUCCACUCGUGCUCUUGGGCUGGCUCUAUAAUGUUAGCAGUGGCCUGCCAACCUGUGUUUCAGGAGGUGCAUCCAUCGCAUCUGGGGCCAACCCUGGGGAGGCUCGCAGUCCCAGGCCUUUCUCUAGGGAAAUGGCCCCGGGGGCUCCUGUGCUGCUGCUGCUGCUGCUGCUGCUGGGGCUGCUGCUGCUGCCGCCACUGCCAGGGCUCCCGCCUCGCGCCGCCGGCUGCCCCGCCGCCUGCCGCUGCUACAGCGCCACGGUUGAGUGCGGUGCCCUGCGGCUGCGCGUCGUCCCACUGGGAAUCCCCCCAGGGACGCAGGUGGGCACCAUGUGGGGCCACCGGGCCUCGGGUUGGAGCAGGCUGCGAGUGCCCAUGGGAUGGAGGGAGCCUUGUGUGAGCAUCCGGGUGGGGUCGGUGGGGCGCCCCAAUGGAGCGAGAGACUCCUGCAGUGGGGUAAGAUUCGCCCUCCCCCGGCCCGCAGACGCUGUUCCUGCAGGACAACAACAUCGCGCGUCUGGAGCCAGGCGCCCUGGCGCCACUCGCCGCCCUUCGCCAUCUCUACCUGCACAACAACAGUCUGCGUGCUCUGGAGUCUGGCGCUUUCCGCUCGCAACCGCGCCUGCUGGAGCUGGCCCUCACAGGCAACAGGCUACGUGGCUUGCGGGGAGGGGCUUUUGCGGGCCUAGCCCAGCUGCGUGUACUCUACCUGGCUGGCAACCAGCUGGCGCGGCUGCUGGAUUUCACCUUCUUGCACCUGCCGGUGAGAGGCCAAAAGCGCGGGAUCUUCUUGUCCUGCCAGUCAUCCAGCGCGCUGUAGUAGUUGUUAGGGGAGAAAAGUCAACCUAGUCUAGCUCCCCUGGGCCCUUUUUCCUGAUGAUCUGCUGUCCCUACUCCAGCGACUGCAGGAGCUGCACCUGCAAGAAAACAGCAUUGAGCUGCUGGAGGACCAGGCCCUGGCAGGGCUCUCCUCCCUGGCCCUGCUUGACCUCAGCAGGAAUCAACUGGGCACCAUCAGCCGUGAGGCCCUGCAGCCCUUGGCCAGCCUGCAAGUCCUGCGCCUCACAGGUAACUCCUCAGGCAGGGGUCCCUAACUGGGCUCAGUGGCAUCAGUAGGGAGCAGGCCCAGGUGUGGAGGGGGUCCCUAUGAUAAACCAUUGGGUAGCAUUUUGGAGGGCCACACCACCACCCUGCAGUUCUGGUAAAGGGCAGCUGGGAACUGAAGUUCUGAUAGAUACAUAACUUAGGCACCUGCCUAAGACAGAAAAGGUAGGCGAUCCAGAAUGACUUAACAGAACUGAGGUUCUUUCACAUUUUGAGGCCAGGAAAGGGCAGGCAGGCGAAAGAGCUGACCAGGAUUGGGGGUGUUUCCAGGAGAGGGCAUCUGUUUUAGAGUUUCAGUGUUGCUGGAAUACCUGUGUGGGCAUCACUGAACUAAAGUGGGGUGAAAGACCUUCCUCAUUCCCAGCAACCGGGGUUCAGAGAAGAAACUCCACCGAGGUGGCUAUAGGAGGUGGGGUGUGGGCUUCUGCCGGGCCCAGCAGAACCUCAACUGUAUUCUUGAUCUGCCUACAGAGAACCCAUGGCGCUGUGAUUGCGCCCUCCACUGGUUGGGCGCUUGGAUCAAGGAGGGGGGUCAGCGACUGUUCAGCACCAGAGACAAGAAGAUCACGUGUGCAGAGCCACCGCGUCUGGCACUGCAGAGUCUGCUGGAGGUGUCGGGCAGUAGCCUCAUCUGCAUUCCUCCCUCUGUGCACGUGGAGCCGCUGGAACUCACAGCCAACCUAGGGGAGGACCUGCGGGUGGCCUGCCAAGCCUCUGGCUACCCGCAGCCCCUGGUGACCUGGAGGAAGGUGCCUCAGCCUCGUGAGGACCGUCCGCAGGCGCAGGCCCAGCUGGAAGGCGGAGCGCCAGGCCUGGGUGGCCAGGCCGCCCCGGACACCGGCAGCGGGAUGCUCUUCCUCACCAACAUCACGCUGGCGCACGCGGGAAAGUACGAGUGCGAGGCCGCCAACGCCGGAGGCGCCGCGAGCGUGCCCUUCCGCCUCCUGGUUAACGCGUCCCGGCAGCCGCCACCGGCCCCGCCGCCACGCCCCCCAGGCCGCGCCCCGAGGCACGAGGCGGGGAGUAUGGCGUUUCGAGCGCUAGGCCUGGCCACGCAGACAGCCAUCGCGGCGGCCAUCGCGCUACUGGCGCUCACGGCGCUGCUGCUGGCCGCCAUGAUCUGCCGGCGGCGGCGGCGGAGGAAAAAGGCGGGCGCGCAGCCAGGAGAGGGCGCGCUGUUCGUCAACGACUACUCGGACGGGCCCUGCACCUUCGCGCAGCUGGAAGAGCUGCGCGACGAGCGCGGCCACGAGAUGUUCGUCAUCGACCGCUCUAAGCCCCUAUUCGCCGAGGGGCCGCCAGAAGCGCCUACCGAGGGCAGACCGCCAGAAGGGCCGCCCCCCUCACUCCACCUCCCACGGCGCGUCGCUUACGAAAUCCACUGCUGAGCCGGCGGCGCGCGCCGAUGACGCGGGCGCCGUUCAUUGGCCCGCGUGGCGCAGCGCAUGCUCAUCAGUAAAGGUGGAAGCUGCGUUGGAGCACCAAGCUGUGGGGCGCCUGCAGACAGAGCCGCGAGGGGCCGUGACCUGGAAGGUCCACGAUGCCCGGGGAGAGCCCUGGCCUGCAGUGCUGGUGGGGUUACGCGGCCAGAGGGAGGGGCAGCAGGCCAGAUGCUAGUUGAUUCCCAGUAGCCAUGCUGGGGAUAUAACAGAGGUGGGGAAGUCACACUGGCCAGUUGGAAUAGAAUAAACAGGCAAAGAUUCAAACUCCAGACACGCUGCACGUUUGUACCUU